AUUGAACGCUGGCGGCAUGCCUUACACAUGCAAGUCGAACGGCAGCACGGGAGCAAUCCUGGUGGCGAGUGGCGAACGGGUGAGUAAUAUAUCGGAACGUGCCCAGUCGUGGGGAUAACGUAGCGAAAGCUACGCUAAUACCGCAUACGAUCUAUGGAUGAAAGCGGGGGGAUCGCAAGACCUCGCGCGAUUGGAGCGGCCGAUAUCAGAUUAGGUAGUUGGUGAGGUAAAGGCUCACCAAGCCGACGAUCUGUAGCUGGUCUGAGAGGACGACCAGCCACACUGGGACUGAGACACGGCCCAGACUCCUACGGGAGGCAGCAGUGGGGAAUUUUGGACAAUGGGCGCAAGCCUGAUCCAGCAAUGCCGCGUGCCAAGGGAUGAAAGGCCUUCGGUUGUAACUGACUUUGUACGGAACGAACGUAGAGCUCUAAUAC
rnacentral:rRNA from 1 species